rnacentral:rRNA from 1 species
CGGUGGAGCAUGUGGUUUAAUUCGACGCAACGCGCAGAACCUUACCAACCCUUGACAUGGGAAGAUGGGCAGCAGAGAUGUUCUAGGCUUCAACAGGUGUGACGAGCGCAACCCCCAUCUUCAGUUGCCAUCGGGAUGUCAAGUCUCAUGGCCCUUAUGGGUUGGCUACAUACAUGGCGGUGACAAGGGACGCUAAGACGCGAGUCUUCGCAUCUCAAAAAGCCGUCUCAGUUCGGAUUGCUCUGCAACUCGAGAGCAUGAAGUUGGAAUCGCUAGUAAUCGGGAUCAGCAUGCCGCGGUGAAUACGUUCCCGGGCCUUGUACACACCGCCGUCACACCAUGGGAGUUGGUUUUACCCGAAGGCGGUGCGCCAACCGUAAGGA